rnacentral:piRNA from 1 species
UUCUCACUGUCUGAGCUGAAGAAUCAAAAA